AUUGAACGCUGGCGGCAGGCCUAACACAUGCAAGUCGAGCGAGCGGCGGACGGGUGAGUAAUGUAUGGGGAUCUGCCCGUUAGAGGGGGAUAACUACUGGAAACGGUAACUAAUACCGCAUCCUAUCGAGUGAACCCAUAUGGGGUUAGCUAGUAGGUGAGGGAAUGGCUCACCUAGGCGACGAUCCCUAGCUGGUCUGAGAGGAUGACCAGCCACACUGGAACUGAGACACGGUCCAGACUCCUACGGGAGGCAGCAGUGGGGAAUAUUGCACAAUGGGCGCAAGCCUGAUGCAGCCAUGCCGCGUGUAUGAAGAAGGCCUUCGGGUUGUAAAGUACUUUCAGCGAGGAGGCGUUACUCGCAGAAGAAGCACCGGCUAACUCCGUGCCAGCAGCCGCGGUAAUAC
rnacentral:rRNA from 1 species